rnacentral:rRNA from 1 species
AUAGUUCGCUCCCACAUAAAGAGACGGAUAUUCGAUGUGUUUAGCAUAGUGACACUUUUUUGGUGCCGAAACAGCCCCAAUCCCUUUGGUCAUUUCUCUUUUCGUGCCGGCCUGUAUUCGGAGUUUCUUGGAUUUGCGGUGAUGCCUUUCUCCUUCUUUUUGGUGACGUCGGAUGCCCGCCUUUGGCGCUCAGAAGUGGAUUCUCCUUCAAAGAGGGCUUUUCCUAAAGGGACAUGGUUGUACUGGAUUUCUAGUCCUAUAGUGGAAGAGCAGAUAGGAUCACACCUACACGUAAGUUCAUUCGUUGGGUUAGUGGCCACCCACACUCCAACCUAUCUAUAUGGCAACAAAAAUGACAAGGCCAAAGUAGCUGACUCUUAUCGCUAA